CCAAAUCGUCGGCCUCCGGGCCGGUCCUAGGCGCGGGGGGUGCUCCCCCCCGCGCCCAAGGUUAAACCCCUUGUGAAAAACCCCCGUUGCUUCGGCGGCGCCUCCGCUCCCCAGCGGAGGGUCAGCCCGCCGACGGCACCAAUUUUGAAACCCUUUUUUCUUGAAAAGAAGAAUGUCUGAAUCAAUGGUCGAAUGACUAUA
rnacentral:misc_RNA from 1 species